AACGAACGCUGGCGGCAUGCCUAACACAUGCAAGUCGAGCGGUAAGGCCCUUUCGGGGGUACACGAGCGGCGAACGGGUGAGUAACACGUGGGUGACCUGCCUUUAGCUCUGGGAUAAGCCUGGGAAACUGGGUCUAAUACCGGAUAUGACUCCGCGGUGCAUGCUGUGGGGUGGAAAGCCUUGUGCGGCUGGAGAUGGGCCCGCGGCCUAUCAGCUUGUUGGUGGGUGAUGGCCUACCAAGGCGA
rnacentral:rRNA from 1 species